rnacentral:rRNA from 1 species
UACAGAGGGUGCGAGCGUUGUUCGGAAUUACUGGGCGUAAAGAGCGCGCAGGCGGUCGUUCAAGUCGCGUGUGAAAGCCCCCGGCUCAACUGGGGAGGGUCACGCGAUACUGAUCGACUCGAAGGCAGGAGAGGGAAGUGGAAUUCCCGGUGUAGUGGUGAAAUGCGUAGAUAUCGGGAGGAACACCAGUGGCGAAGGCGACUUCCUGGCCUGUUCUUGACGCUGAGGCGCGAAAGCUAGGGGAGCAAACGGGG